rnacentral:rRNA from 1 species
AUUGAACGCUGGCGGCAUGCUUUACACAUGCAAGUCGAACGGCAGCGCGGGCUUCGGCCUGGCGGCGAGUGGCGAACGGGUGAGUAAUGCAUCGGAACGUGCCCAGCAGUGGGGGAUAGCCCGGCGAAAGCCGGAUUCAUACCGCAUACGACCUGAGGGUGAAAGCGGGGGACCGAAAGGCCUCGCGCUAUUGGAGCGGCCGAUGUCGGAUUAGCUAGUUGGUGGGGUAAAGGCUUACCAAGGCGACGAUCCGUAGCUGGUCUGAGAGGACGACCAGCCACACUGGGACUGAGACACGGCCCAGACUCCUACGGGAGGCAGCAGUGGGGAAUUUUGGACAAUGGGGGCAACCCUGAUCCAGCCAUGCCGCGUGCGGGAAGAAGGCCUUCGGGUUGUAAACCGCUUUUGUUCGGGAAGAAAUCCUCUGGGCUAAUACCCCGGGGGGAUGACGGUACCGGAAGAAUAAGCACCGGCUAACUACGUG